UUCUCCCCUCUCGGCUCUUCCUCUCCAAAAACCGAGCACGAAUUUGGAUUCAAUAUUUCGACCAUCAAAAGUUUGAUUUGAUCCAUAGAUCUUGAAGAGCCAGAAUGCCACGUCGUGGAAAAAGUAGCAAACCAAGCUAUGGCCGGACGACCGGUAGUCCGUACAUCCACAAGCCGCUUCCUAGCGGUGUUCCAGUACCUAUGUGCUUUUGUGGUGAUCCUUGCAAGGUAGACAUUUCAGAAGACGAGGAAACCUAUCGGCAGCGGUAUUGGAUGUGUUCCAAUUAUGCCUGGGAGCCUACGCCAAAACAACGCCGCAGUAAC